GAUGAACGCUGGCGGCGUGCCUAAUACAUGCAAGUCGAGCGAACAGAUGAGGAGCUUGCUCCUCUGACGUUAGCGGCGAACGGGUGAGUAACACGUGGAUAACCUACCUAUAAGCCUGGGAUAACUUCGGGAAACCGGAGCUAAUACCGGAUAAUAUCUUUAAACGCAUGGUUCAAUAGUGAAAGACGGAUUUGCUGUCCCUUAUAGAUAUAUCCCCGCCGCUUUAGUUCGUUGUGAAGGUAACGCCUUACCAAGCGAUGGAUGAGAAGCCACCUGGGAAGGUGGUCCGGCAAAUCGGGAACGGGACAAGGGUCCAGACUCCUAGGGGGGGCACCGGAGGGGAACCUUCGGCAAGGGGCGAAGGCUUGACGGAGCAAGCCGGCGUGGGGGAUGAGGUUCUUCGGAUCGUAAAACUCGGUUAUUAGGAAAGAACAAAUUUGGAAGGAACUACGCACGUCGUGACGGUACCUACUCAGAAAGCCACGGCUAACUACGUG
rnacentral:rRNA from 1 species